rnacentral:rRNA from 1 species
GACGGGGAGCACCACAACGGUGGAGCUUGCGGUUUAAUUGGAUUCAACGCCGGAAAACUCACCAGAUAAGACAGCUGAAUGAUAGUCGGGCUGAAGACUCUACUUGACUAGCUGAGAGGAGGUGCAUGGCCGUCGUCAGUUCGUACUGUGAAGCAUCCUGUUAAGUCAGGCAACGAGCGAGACCCACGCCAACAGUUGCCAGCUCGUCCUCCGGGAUGGUGGGGACACUGUUGGGACCGCCUCUGCUAAAGAGGAGGAAGGAAUGGGCAACGGUAGGUCAGCAUGCCCCGAAUUAUCUGGGCUACACGCGGGCUACAAUGGGUGGGACAAUGGGUAUCGACACCGAAAGGUGAAGGCAAUCUCCUAAACCCAUCCGUAGUUCGGAUUGUGGGCUGCAACUCGCCCACAUGAAGCUGGAAUCUGUAGUAAUCGUGUCUCAAAAUGGCACGGUGAAUAUGUCCCUGCUCCUU